GACAGCCUCAGACUCAGGGCUGGGACCCUUGGGACUCAAAAGAGAGAAAAGGUGGAGAAAAGAGAAAGCUACUAUUUUCUUCAUUUUGCCCCUGCUAACAUCCAAUGCACUUAGGAGCCUCGAUGUCUGCUCUCCAAGAGUGGAGAGAGGAUGCCAGACAGAUAUUUGAGCAGAACAAAGAGAGCCAACAGGAUGAAGGCAUUCCCUGGCUGGUUGGACAAGCAACUGAAGAACAGGAACAGAAGUGAAUGAAAAGAGAAGAUGCUGUGUUUGUGUUUUCUCUUGGUUAGAAUGCUGUGAGUCAGGACCUUAGCUGCUGGGUGUCCUGGG
rnacentral:lncRNA from 1 species